UACGGAGGGUGCGAGCGUUAUCCGGAAUUACUGGGUUUAAAGGGUGCGUAGGCGGCGCGGUAAAUCGGGUGUGAAAUCUCGGAGCUUAACUCCGAAACUGCAUUCGAUACUGCCGUGCUUGAGGACUGGAGAGGAGACUGGAAUUUACGGUGUAGCGGUGAAAUGCGUAGAUAUCGUAAGGAAGACCAGUGGCGAAGGCGGGUCUCUGGACAGUUCCUGACGCUGAGGCACGAAGGUCAGGGGAGCAAACGGG
rnacentral:rRNA from 1 species